rnacentral:rRNA from 1 species
UAUCGGUAGGGGAGCGUUCUGUUGUAGGUCGAAGUAUUAGCGUAAGCGGGUAUGGACGAAGCAGAAGUGAGAAUGUCGGCUUGAGUAACGAAAAUAUUGGUGAGAAUCCUAUACCCCGAAAACCCAAGGUUUCCUCCGGAAGGCUCGUCCGCGGAGGGUAAGUCAGGACCUAAGGCGAGGCUGAAAAGCGUAGUCGAUGGACAACGGGUUAAUAUUCCCGUACCGUUUUUUAUUGAUAUCGAGGGACGGAGAAGGCUAAGCUAGCCGGAUAUUGGUUUUACCGGUUUAAACGUUCGAGAUGUUGAGAAGCGGAGAAAACGCUUUGAGUUGAGACGUGAGUACGAGACGCUAAGGCGUCGAAGUAGUGGAUGUCAUACUUCCAAGUAAAGCUUGCACUGUCAUAAAUAAAAAAUGCCUGUACCAUAACCGACACAGGUGGGUAAGUAGAGUAUACUAAGGGGCGCGAGAUAACUCUCUCUAAGGAACUCGGCAAAAUAACUCCGUAACUUCGGGAGAAGGAGUGCCUUAUUCUUAAGGUUGCAAUAACAAGAUCCAAGCAACUGUUUAUCAAAAACACAGGUCUCCGCUAAGUCGUAAGACGAUGUAUGGGGGCUGACGCCUGCCCAGUGCCAGAAGGUUAAAGAAGUCGGUUAGCAAUAGCAAAGCUGGUAACUGAAGCCCUGGUGAACGGCGGCCGUAACAAUAACGGUCCUAAGGUAGCGAAAUUCCUUGUCGGGUAAGUUCCGACCCGCACGAAAGGCGUAAUGAUUUGGAUGCUGUCUCGGAGAGGGGCUCGGUGAAAUAGACUUGUCUGUGAAGAUGCGGACUACCUGCACCAGGACAGAAAGACCCUAUGAAGCUUUACUGUAACUUGAAAUUGAAAUUGGACUUUAUUCGCGCAGUAUAGGUGGGAGGCGUUGAUUAUAAUCUUGUGGGAUUAUUGGAGCCAUCAGUGAGAUACCACUCUUGUAAUGUUAGAUUUCUAACUUUGAAUCAUUAUCUGGUCAAAGGACAGUUUCAGGCGGGCAGUUUGACUGGGGCGGUCGCCUCCUAAACGGUAACGGAGGCGUACAAAGGUUUCCUCUGAACGGUUAGAAAUCGUAUCUAGAGUGUAAAGGCAUAAGGAAGCUUGACUGUGAGACCUACAAGUCGAGCAGGGACGAAAGUCGGUCUUAGUGAUCUGACGGUACUGAGUGGAAAGGCCGUCACUCAACGGAUAAAAGUUACUCUAGGGAUAACAGGCUGAUCUCCCCCAAGAGUUCACAUCGACGGGGAGGUUUGGCACCUCGAUGUCGGCUCAUCGCAUCCUGGGGCGGUAGUACGUCCCAAGGGUUGGGCUGUUCGCCCAUGAAAGCGGUGCGCGAGCUGGGUUCAGAACGUCGUGAGACAGUUCGGUCCAUAUCCGGUGUAGGCGCUAGAAUAUUGAGAGGAGCCUUCUUUAGUACGAGAGGACCGAGAAGGACAUACCUCUGGUGUACCAGUUAUCGUGCCAACGGUAAACGCUGGGUAGCUAUGUAUGGAGUGGAUAACCGCUGAAAGCAUCUAAGUGGGAAGCCCACCUCAAGAUAAGUAUUCUCAUC